rnacentral:rRNA from 1 species
UACGAAGGGUGCAAGCGUUACUCGGAAUCACUGGGCGUAAAGCGUGCGUAGGCGGUUCGUUAAGUCUGCUGUGAAAGCCCUGGGCUCAACCUGGGAACUGCAGUGGAUACUGGCGGACUAGAGUGUGAUAGAGGAUGGUGGAAUUCCCGGUGUAGCGGUGAAAUGCGUAGAGAUCGGGGAGGAACACCAGUGGCGAAGGCGGCCAUCUGGAUCAACACUGACGCUGAGGCACGAAAGCGUGGGGGAGCAAACAGG